UUGCUAAUCGGCUCGACAAACUAAAACCUCAGUCAGAGAAAACAAGAAUCAUGAACUUUCUGAUUCAAUUCACAGAGGUUUGAAUGGAGAACAAUGAGGAACAUGAAAAUCAUCUGUUGCAGAUUUCUCACAUUUAAAUGUUCCAGAUCACUGAACUAAUAUUUAUAUUAGCUGAAUAUCAGAGAUAACCCACAAACUUGUAUCACUCUGUGAAAAAGUAACUGACCCACUGAACCUAAUAACUUAUUUAGCAGCAACAACUGCAGUUAAAUGUUUGUUCCAGCUUGUGAUCAGUCUUUUCCAUCACCAUGGAGGAAUUCUGCUCCACUCUUCUCUGCAGAAUAGUUUGAAUUCAGUCACAUUAGAUGGUUUUAGAUCAUGAACUGUCCUUUUAAGGUCUUGUCACAGAAUCUCAAUUAGAUUCAAGUCCAGACUUUGACUCCAGAACCUUCAUUUAGUUCUUUCUGAGCCACUCAGAGGUGGACUUGCUGGUGGUCUUUGGGUCUUUGUCUUGCUGCAUAAACCAUUAGUGUUGAGCUUUAGGUCAUGGACUGAUGCUGGAUGUUCUCCAGGAGGAUUUUCUGAUAGAGAGCAGAAUUCAUGGCUCCAUCAGUGAUGACAAGUCGUCCAGGUCCUCCAACCAUCACACUA